UACUAACCCUAACAACACACAACAUUCCAGGAAUGUACUACCAAAGUUCUAUCAAUAUUUGAAUGUCCUGGACAUUUAGGGAACAUUCGGUGAACAUCUGUUUAAAUUAUUCCUGGAAUGUUACCAUAAGACAUUCUGUGAACAUACUACCAAUGUUCCUAUAUUUUAAGUUGCGAAAUAAUACAUACGUGUAAGAGAUACAACAUUACUUAUAACAUACCAGACAAACUAAGUGACAUUUUAGGCCUACAGUGCAAUAAUAUGUCAAAUUUAAAGAGUUUCCCAAGAUUAUAAACAUACAAAUGUAAUAAAAAUUAUUGUUCGCGAAUAUUCAAUUUGGAAUGCGAUUUUGUUAAUAAAAAAAAUACUUAUGCAAAACCCAAGAGAGGCAUUUAUAUUUAUUUCUUUUGCGUUCAUUUUCAAAUUCGCCGUGCAUAUAUUUUUGUGCAUGGCGCUUGAGAGGGCAUCACGUGACUAAAAACGACCAACCAACGACCUCGCUUCGGCCAUCUUGGCAUCUUCAUCUUGGCGACCUUGCCUUGCCGUGGAUUGUUUUUAGUUGUUUGUAUUAUUUGUGCUUUUUAAGAAUAUUUUUUUAAUUCGGAUACUUUUAUAAUAGCUUUAAUAGUAUUAUUAACAUAGUGCAUAAAAUGGUGUCCUGUUUUUAACGCAGUUGGAGUAGCAGAAACAAAUGUAGAUAAAAAAAUCUGCAGGAAUAACGUUUCAAUUAUGACAGAAGCUCAAAACAAAUGACUGUGAAUGAAAAGCCCUAUUAAAAGCUUUCCAGAAGAUCCUGCGAAGAAGACAUGAAGUAUAGAUCAGAUUUGUUAAUAGAGGAGUAUGUUCAAAACACUUUUUAGAAAAAGAUAUUGACAGAACUUCACUUUCAUCUGUUCGUUUGAGAGACUGUGCUGUUCCAAUAGCUUAUGUCACACAGAAUCAGCUGAGAGAAGUGGUCUACAAAAAACCAGAAAGGAAACGGAAUAUGUGGCUACGAAAAGCAAAAGAAAGGUUUACAAAGCAAAUGUGACACAUUUUUUUAUAAUAUUUAGGAAUGUCAGCAAAUUAUAUUAAAAAAUGUAUGUAAAGAUUUUUUGCAAUAAAAAUGUUUAUAUUUAUCAA